rnacentral:rRNA from 1 species
CGAGCGGUAUUGUUUCUUCGGAAAUGAGAGAGCGGCGUACGGGUGCGGAACACGUGUGCAACCUGCCUUUAUCUGGGGGAUAGCCUUUCGAAAGGAAGAUUAAUACUCCAUAAUAUAUUGAACGGCAUCGUUUAAUAUUGAAAGCUCCGGCGGAUAGAGAUGGGCACGCGCAAGAUUAGCUAGUUGGUGAGGUAACGGCUCACCAAGGCGAUGAUCUUUAGGGGGCCUGAGAGGGUGAUCCCCCACACUGGUACUGAGACACGGACCAGACUCCUACGGGAGGCAGCAGUGAGGAAUAUUGGUCAAUGGGUACAAGCCUGAACCAGCCAUCCCGCGUGAAGGACGACUGCCCUAUGGGUUGUAAACUUCUUUUGUAUAGGGAUAAACCUACCCUCGUGAGGGUAGCUGAAGGUACUAUACGAAUAAGCACCGGCUAACUCCGUGCCAGCAGCCGCGGUAAUACGGAGGGUGCAAGCGUUAUCCGGAUUUAUUGGGUUUAAAG